UAAGGGCGUUGAAGCAUGAUCGUAAGGACAUGUGGAGCGCUUAGAAGUGAGAAUGCCGGUGUGAGUAGCGAAAGAUGGGUGAGAAUCCCGUCCACCGAUUGACUAAGGUUUCCAGAGGAAGGCUCGUCCGCUCUGGGUUAGUCGGGUCCUAAGCUGAGGCCGACAGGCGUAGGCGAUGGAUAACAGGUUGAUAUUCCUGUACCACCUAUAAUCGUUUUAAUCGAUGGGGGGACGCAGUAGGAUAGGCGAAGCGUGCGAUUGGAUUGCACGUCUAAGCAGUAAGGCUGAGUAUUAGGCAAAUCCGGUACUCGUUAAGGCUGAGCUGUGAUGGGGAGAAGACAUUGUGUCUUCGAGUCGUUGAUUUCACACUGCCGAGAAAAGCCUCUAGAUAGAAAAUAGGUGCCCGUACCGCAAACCGACACAGGUAGUCAAGAUGAGAAUUCUAAGGUGAGCGAGCGAACUCUCGUUAAGGAACUCGGCAAAAUGACCCCGUAACUUCGGGAGAAGGGGUGCUCUUUAGGGUUAACGCCCAGAAGAGCCGCAGUGAAUAGGCCCAAGCGACUGUUUAUCAAAAACACAGGUCUCUGCUAAACCGUAAGGUGAUGUAUAGGGGCUGACGCCUGCCCGGUGCUGGAAGGUUAAGAGGAGUGGUUAGCUUCUGCGAAGCUACGAAUCGAAGCCCCAGUAAACGGCGGCCGUAACUAUAACGGUCCUAAGGUAGCGAAAUUCCUUGUCGGGUAAGUUCCGACCCGCACGAAAGGCGUAACGAUUUGGGCACUGUCUCAACGAGAGACUCGGUGAAAUCAUAGUACCUGUGAAGAUGCAGGUUACCCGCGACAGGACGGAAAGACCCCGUGGAGCUUUACUGUAGCCUGAUAUUGAAAUUCGGCACAGCUUGUACAGGAUAGGUAGGAGCCUUUGAAACGU
rnacentral:rRNA from 1 species